rnacentral:rRNA from 1 species
UACGAAGGGGGCGAGCGUUGUUCGGAAUUACUGGGCGUAAAGGGCUCGUAGGCGGCCAACUAAGUCAGACGUGAAAUCCCUCGGCUUAACCGGGGAACUGCGUCUGAUACUGGAUGGCUUGAGAUUGGGAGAGGGAUGCGGAAUUCCAGGUGUAGCGGUGAAAUGCGUAGAUAUCUGGAGGAACACCGGUGGCGAAGGCGGCAUCCUGGACCAACACUGACGCUGAGGGAGCGAAAGCCAGGGGAGCAAACGGG